UACAGAGGGGGCGAGCGUUGUUCGGAAUUACUGGGCGUAAAGGGCGCGUAGGCGGCCUUCUAAGUCGAACGUGAAAUCCCCGGGCUCAACCCGGGAACUGCGUCCGAUACUGGGAGGCUUGAAUCCGGGAGAGGGAUGUGGAAUUCCAGGUGUAGCGGUGAAAUGCGUAGAUAUCGAGAGGAACACCUGCGGCGAAGGCGGGUUGCUGGGCUGACACUGACGCUGAUGCGCGAAAGCCAGGGGAGCGAACGGG
rnacentral:rRNA from 1 species